AUGAAAGUGAAUACAACAGAUGACAGAGAUGAGCAGUUCAAAGGUCAAAGAAAAAGCUAGUCCUUAUGAUGUGAUUUGGGAAGCUGUGUUCCCAAGGAAAUCGUUUCUGGAAAGCCUGAGUUUUUCUUUUUUAUUUUUUUCUUUUGAGAGACGGACUCUUGCUAUCACUCAGGCUGGAGUACAAUGGCACGAUCUCAGCUCACUGCAACCUCCCCUUCCUGGGUUCAAGUGAUUCUCCUGCCUCAGCUUCCCAAGUAGCUAGGACUACAGGUGUGCACCACCACACCUGGCUAAUUUUUGUAUUUUUUUAGUAGAGAUGGGGUUUCACUAUGUGUUGGUCAGGCUGGUCUCGAACUCCUGACCUAAAGUAAUCCACUCACCUCAGCUUCCUAAAGUGCUGGGAUUAUAAGUGUAAGCCACCCAGCUGAUUUUCUUAUUUUGCUCUCACAUAGGGGAAUCUUCUGUCUUACGCUUUUUUUUUUUUUGAGAUGGAGUCUUUUGCUCUGUUGCCCAGGCUGGAGUGCAGUUGUGCUAUCUCAGCUCACCUGAAUCUCUGCCUCCUGGGUUCAAGUCAUUCUCCUGCUUCAGCCUCCUGAGUAGCUGGGACUGCAAGUGCUCACCACCAUGCCCGGCUAAUUUUUGCAUUUUUAGUAUAGACAGAGUUUCACUAUGUUGGCCAGGCUGGUCUCAAACUCCUGACCUAGUAAUCUGCUCACCUUGGCCUUGCAAAGUGCUGGGAUUACAAGUGUGAAUCACCGCGCCUGGCCCUGUGUUAUGCUUUUAUCUCAGGACUGCUUUCCCUUCAGUGAUCUGCCUUCAAUUUUAGAAUGAGAGCCAAAGUCUUCCUAAUCACAUAUAAGAGACUGCACAGGCCAGGUGCAGUGGCUCAUGCCUGUAAUUUCAGCACUUUGAAAGGCCAAGUCAGAGGGAUCACGGGGUCAAGAGAUCGAAACCAUCCUGGCCUACAUGGUGAAACCCGGUCUUUACUAAAAAUACAGAAAUUAGCUGGGCAUGGUGGUACAUGCCUAUAAUCCCAGGUACUGGAGAGGCUGAGGCAGGAGAAUUGCUUGAACCAGGGGUUGGAGGUUGCAGUGAGCUGAGAUUAUGCCACUGCACUCCAGCCUGGUGACAGAGCAAGGCUCAGUCUCAAAAAAAAAAAAAGAUACUGCACAAUCUGACUGCUUUUUCAUUGUUUUGGGGGACAGAGAAAUAUCUGUAUAAUUUUGAGAAACUCUGUUAAACUAUUAAGUUCUCUUUUUGCAUGUCUGAAAUGUGUGAGAGUAGUGGGGUUUUGUUUAUUUUUCUGCACCUUCCAUCCUGUUUGUAUCACUAUAGUCUGCAAAUAUAGUUGGAAGUUAUAAAGUAUUAUGUCCUUCUGCUUUGUUUUUUUCUCGAUUGCUUUGACUAGUCAAAGUUUAUUGUAGUUUCAUGUAAAUUUUAGAAUCCUAUUAUUCAUUACUGUAAAAAAAAUGCCCUGGAAUUUUGAUAGGGCGUUUAUUGAAUCUGUAACUCACCUUCAAUAACAUGGCUCUUCUUCUUCUUCUUCUUCUUUUUUUUUUUUUUUGGAGAAAGUGAUUUAUUUAGAGAGAGAGAGAGAAACAGCUAACUCUCACACUGAGCGAGAGAAUCCAGAAAGAUGGAAUCCAGGAGAGAAAAGCAGCUUCCACACUCACGGGAAGGGAAUAGAGAGAGAGAGUUUAGGAAGGAAAGACAGGUUUCCACGAGAGAGUGUGGAAGGGGACUCCAGAGGGGAAAUCCAGGAGAGAGAAAGAUGGCUUCCACGAAGGGAGGGUUCAUGGAAGGGAAUCCAGACAUGGAGUCCUAUAACAUGACUCUUUAACAAUACUUCUUAUUUCCAUCUAUAGACAUGAAAUAUUUUUAAAUUUAUCUGUAUCUUCUCUAAUGUCUUUUAUUAAUCUCUUACAUCUUUCAUUGUAAAUAUUAUCUGUCUCUUGGAUUAAAUUUCUUCUCAGAAAUUUAUUAUUUUAGUGCUAUCGUAAAUAAGAUUUUCGUUGUUAUCGUUUGUUUUUUGAGAGGCAGUCUCACUCUGUCACCCAGGCUGGAGUGCAGUGGCACUAUCUCAGCUGACUGCAACCGCCACCUCCCGGGUUCAAGCAAUUCUCCUGCCUCCACCACUCGAGUAGCUGGGACUACAGAAGCGUGCCACCACACCUGGCUAAGUUUUAUAUUUUUAAUAGAGAUGGGGUUUCAACAUGUUGGCCAGGCUAUCUCAAACUCUUGACCUUGUAAUCUGCGAACCUUGGCCUCCCAAAGCGCUGGGAUUACAGACUGUCGCUCCAUCACCCAGGCUAUAGUGCAGUGGUGCAGUCUCGGCCCACUGCAGCCUCUGCCUCCCUUCAAGCAAUUAUCCAGCCUCAGCCAUUUAUUUGUUCUCAUUUUGCCCAAGACUUUUCACAGAGCAGAACAUAAAAGAUUCUUUUCAAAAAGUGAUACUGAAAAGAUAUGGAAAAUGUGGACAUGAGAAUUUACAGUUAAGAAAAUGUGGCAAAAGUGUGGAUGAGUGCAAAGUGCAAUCAGGAGGUUAUAAUGGACUUAAUAAAUGUUUGCCAACUACCCAGAGCAGAAUAUUUCAAUGUGAUGAAUACAUGAGAUCAUUUUGCAUUUUUUCAAACCUAACUCAACAUAAAAUAAUUUAUUUGAGAGUAAAUAUCUACAAAUGUGAAGACUGUGGAAAAGUUUUUAAUGGAUCCUCAAUCUUUAGUAAACAUAAAAGAAUGUAAAUUGAAAAGAAACCCUACAAAUGUGAAAUAUGUGGCAAAGUCUUUAACCAGUUCUCAACACUUACUACACAUAAGAGAAUUCAUACCAGAGAGAAACUCAACUAACAUAAGGAAUGAGGCAAAAAUUUCAAUCAGUCCUCACACCUUCCUAGACAUAAGAUAAUUAAUCCUGGAGAAAAAUCCUACAAAUGCGGAGACUGUGGCAAAGCCUUUAGGCAGUCCUCACAACUUACUACACAUCAGACAAUUCAUACUGGAGAGAAACCAUACAAAUGUGAAGAAUGUGGCAAAGCCUUUAACCAAUCCUCAAAAUUACUGAACAUAAAAUUAUUCAUACUGGAGAGCAACCCUACCAAUGUGAAAAACGUGGCAAAGCCUUUAAACAAUCCUCAAUUCUUACUGAACAUAAGAAUAUUUAUACUGAAGAGAAACCAUACAAAUGUGAAGAAUGUGGCAAAGCUUUUAACCAGUCCUCAAUUUUUACUACACAUAAGAAAAUUCAUACUUACUAAAAUGAACUAUCCUGACUCCAUCUUAGAAAUAAGCCUGACAGGCUCCAGCUUAGCUUCUCCCUCCCUGCCACAGCCCUCACAAAUGCAUUACUGAGUCAUGCUGUGCUCAGAGCCUUGAACUGUUGAGGUUUGGGUCAUGCUGUUCUCAAUACCUGUAACCAAUGUAACCACAUCCUGCUUGGCAAGUCUACCUGCUGUUGUGAAUACCCCUCUUGGUGAUUGAUUGUAUGGAAAGUCCUCCCUGGUAGCCCCCUUGAUGAUUAUAUGGAAAUGGUCUUAGUAACCAGCAACUAUGGGAACCUCCUGCCUCCUGGUUCCCAGCCUCUUCCUACUAACUUGCUUGUUCUGCUUCUGUAGAAUUCUGCUUCAACUAGGCUCCCCCUCCCGUAUCCUAAGCUAGGUAUGCAAAGAAAUCAAGCCCCUUCCUCAGGGCAGAGAGAUUUUUAAGUGUUAGCCACCUCUCAGAUGCCGGGAAAAAAAGACUCUCAAUCAGAACUCAGAAAGUAGCGCUUUCUCUAACUCGCUUGGUUACAACAUUUGGCGAGAUAUUGCCACCAGGUGUGGGCUGGACUCACUCCGAGGUCCCCCAGAUGCAGUGGUGAAGUAUAGGGGAGGAUCCCCUUGAGACGUUCCAGAGCCCCAUAGGUCACCAUUUUCCAGAGGAGAUUGGAUCGACCACUGACUCACCCCUCUAGCUUCUUUUCUGAGUCCUCUGUCCUCGUCCACGGAAAAGUAAGUUAGGCCUGGCUCUGUGUUUGGACCAGGGAGGGGCAUUGGCCCUGACGAGGUCCACCUUUCAGGAUUCUGUCAACACUCCAGAAAGCUGGAGGACAGAGUUCCCAAUUCUGUGAGAAAUUUCUGAGGGAUAGGAAAUUUCUCUGGGAUCCUGACUGUUUGGAAAACUCUGCCCCUACCGCGAAAGCUCUCUCUCUCUUUCCCUCCCCUACCAAGAGGCUCCCUUAUCUCUCACUUUACAUACCGGCCCUAGCCCUACCGCUGCCCAGCUUCCCGCCGCCCAGCUUCCCGCCCAGCAGUUCAAACUGACCAACAGUUGCCCACCACCUCGGCUUGCGACUUCCCCACUCCCCCAGCCCUUCAGCCCCCUAUAAAACAACCCUGCCCCUCUGAGCGGCGCGGCCAUUUUCCUCUUCCUCCCAGCUGGUCCGCCCGGAGGCUCUUUCCUCUCAAUAAAGCCUGAACUUAGGGAAUUUCCUCUAACCUGUGGUCCGGUUUUUUCCGAACGAGCUCAGUCUUCCCGCAGAGGGUAGGUCGGACAACAACCAUCUUCUUGCAACUUCCGACUGCCCUGCAGCCGGAUGCCGAAGCGCCAAAUGCUACAAGCACCGCUCCACUGCACCCGGCGGGCUGCUUUUCUACCCCUAGCCGUAGGCCUCUCCCUGGUAACCUCGGCACUUGCAGCUGGACUGGGAGGAGGAGCACUAACCCACUCUCACCUGGCUAUAGCCCGGCUAACCUCACAAUUCCAAACUGCUGUUGAUGACUCUGCUGAGUCAUUAGCAUCACUCCAACGACAGAUUACCUCAGUUGCCCAAGUUGCCUUGCAGAACCGAAGAGCCCUGGACCUGCUCACCACUGAAUGAGGAGGGACCUGUAUCUUCCUACAGGAAGAGUGCUGUUACUACAUCAAUGAAUCCGGCCUAGUAGAAACCCGAAUCGAGAGCCUCCAGAAACUCAAAACUAACCUGCAGAAUCAAAAAUUCUCGGCUGAAGCCACGGCGUGGUGGUCUUCCUCUACGUAUACCCUCUUGUCCCCGCUGCUUGGGCCCCUAAUAGCCGUUUGCCUAAUCUUACUUAUUGCUCCUUGCUUUCUACAGUUCAUACAGCGGUGCUUUCAAGAACUAACUCGAGUCACCAUCCACCAGAUGCUGCUCCAACCCUACCCUGAAUGAGUGCUAGAAGCGGACCUCUCUCCUUAAGAAAAGAAAUCUCUUCAGAACCCCCGGUCGACCCUUGUCAGCAGGAAGUAGCCAGAGAGACAACCGACGCCCCUGACACCCUCUUUUCUUCUUUUCUUUUAAGGAGUCGGGAAUGUUUAGAAAACUCUGCCCCUACCAUGAAAGCUCUCUUUCCCUCCCCCAUGAAGAGGCUCCCUCAUCUCUCAUUCUACAUACCGCUCUAGCCUUCCCGCCCGGCCACAGCCACCUCCCGCCCAGCAACUGGUUGACCAAUCACCGCCCGCCUCAUUAGCUGUUCCCAGUUUCCUGCCGCCCGGCUUCCCCACCCAGCAGUUUAAACUGACCAACCGUUGCCCGCCACCUCAGCUCCCUCAGCUUCCCACUCCCUCAGCCCUUCAGCCCCCUAUAAAAGAACCCUGCCCCUCUGAGCACGCACGGCCAUUUUUCCUUUUUGUCCCGGCUGGCUCGUCCAGAGGCUCUUUCCUCUCAAUAAAGCCUGAACUUAAGGAUUUUCUCCUAACCUGCGGUCCGGUUUUUUCCAAACGAGCUCAGUCCUCCCGCAGGAGGUAGGUCGGACACUUACUUCUGCCUCUCCAACAGGUUCUUCGACACAGAUUUCAUUCCUUUUUAUAGGAUAUAUCAGAGCCCACUCUAACCUACCUGGAACCUUGGCCACUGGAAAUUCUGCUGCUGAUGCCCUAACUUAAAAUAUUUUUCCUGCCCUUUCUUUUAUACAGCAGUCAGAGUCUUCCCAUGAUAUACAUCACCAAAACGCAAGGAGCCUCUGACUACAGUUUCACAUUACUAGGGAACAGGCAAGACAAAUUGUAAAACAAUGCCCUGCCUGUGUUUCUUUUCUCCCACAGACCAUUCAUCUUGGAGUUAACCUGCGCGGUUUACACCCUGCCCAUAUCUACCAGAUGGAUGUUACACAUUUUUUUCCUUUUGGUAAACUUAAAGUUAUUCAUGUUACCAUUGAUACUUUUUCCCACUUUCUUGUAGCUUCCGCCCACACCGGAGAAGCAGUUAAGGAUGUUAUUUCUCAUUGUCUACUGGUAUUUUCUAUUAUUGGUUCUCCUAAGAUUUUAAAAACUGACAACGGUCCUGCUUAUACCAAUAAGAGUUUUCAGUCAUUUUGUUCACAAUUUCAAAUCUCUCAUCGUACAGGUAUUCCUUACAACCCUCAAGGCCAGGGUAUCAUUGAACGCUCUCAUGCUGUUCUCAAAAAUCUGCUAUCUAAACUGAAACAUGAUUCUAAUACUGUGUCAUUUUCCAAGUCUCCGCAUGACUGUCUUUGUCAUGCACUCUAUGUAUUAAACUUUCUCAUUUAAGAUGACAACAACUGCUCUGCUGCUGAUUGUUUUUGGCAUCCUGAUCAUAAGGCUCACCCCGAAGUUAACUGGAAAGAUGCCCUUUCUAAUCAGUGGCUCAGAUCUAGUGCUCAUAUGGAGAUGAGGACAUCUGCUGGUUCACCUAUUUGGGUUCCUGAACGCCUAGUGAAGCAUGAAUAUAAACAACAGACGAGGUCCAAACUCCUUGAUCCUGAGAUUUCAUCGGCUGCGCUGGUCAUUCCCUAAAGCUUACUAAAUGUUGCCUAAAAAUGCCAUUGAUCACUUUGCCAUUGGCAGUGGUGCGUGCCUGUAGUACCAGCUACUCGGGAGGCUGAGGUGGGAAGAUACCUUGAGUCCAGGAGUUCUGGGCUGUAGUGCGCUAUGCCAAUCUAGUGUCUGGACUAAGUUCGGCAUCAAUAUGGUGACCUCCCAGGAGCGUGGGACCACCAGGUUGCCUAAGGAGGGGUGAACCGGCCCAGGUCGAAAACGGAGCAGGUCAAAACUCCCGUGCUGAUCAGUAGUGGGAUCGCACCUGUGAAUAGCCAUGGCACUCUAGCCCAGGCAAUGUAAUGAGACCCAGCUCUAAAAAGAAAAGAAAAAGAAAAAUGCCAGUGAGCACUUUUAACCAUGUUACCUCUUUCCUCCCAUUGAUGUGGUCAUGUUGUGGUCUCUUCUGUUAUCAAGCUAUUGCAGGUCAGAGGUGAUUAUUUCCUGUACAAGUGAGAACUCCUUCUUUUCCUCUUCCAUGGAAUCCUCCUGUUCUCCCUACUUGAAGCAACAUAUAGGAGGCAAAUAUAAUGACAAUGUACCAAUAUAUUUCCUUCUAUGUGUCCACUAUAAGCAGAUUACAACAUGGCCCACCUGGAACUCACUUACUUCCAAUGAGCAUUUUCCUACAAUGUAUUUCUUUCUAUUAAAAGUACCUCUGAUAUCCCAGCACUUUGGGAGGCCAAGGCAGGUAGAUCACGAGGUCAAGAAAUCGAGACAAUACUGGUCAACAUGGUGAAACCCCGUCUCUACUAAAAAUAUAAAAAAUUAGCUGGGCAUGGUGGCAGGUGCCUUAAUCCCAGCUACUCAGGAGGCUGAGGCAGGAGAAAUGUCUGAACCUAGAAGGCGGAGGUUGUGGUGAGCCAAGAUCGUGCCAUUGCACUCCAGUAUGGGUAACAAGAGCGAAACUUAGUCUCAAAAAGAAAAAAAAGUAGUAUAAAUAAACAAUGGAACACUAUUUACCUGUUAAAGGUAGUAAAUCUCAUCAUUUGAAUAAACAUAGAUAAAUUUAGAAGGCAUUUUGCUACAUAAAAUUAGCCAAACCUAAAUAGACAAGUACUUCAUGAUUUAUUUAUAUUUAGAACCUAAUAAAAUUUAACUCAAAAAGCAGAACAUAGAAUAAUAGUUAUCAGAAGCCGAGGGUGGUGAAAAAGAAAUAGAAAGCUGUUUAUCAAAGGUUACAAUAUUUCAAAUAGAUAGGGUAAAAAGGUUUUAAGGUCUAUUGAACAGCAGGAUGACUAUAGAAAACAAUCAUGUUUUGUAUAUUUCAAAAUAACUAGGAGUAAAUUUCAAAUGUCUCACCACAAAAAAUGGUAGGUAAGCAAGUUGUUAGAGGUUUUAUUUAACUUGACUUGAUUAUUUAAUAUUGCAUACAGUGCUCGCUACAGCAGCACAUAGACUAAAAUUGGAACGAUACAGAGAAGAUUAGCAAUUUGAAAUAAAUUUUUAAAAAUACUGUAUACAUAUAUUAAAACAUCACAUUUUCCACUAUCAAUGAUUACAACUAUAAUUAGCCAAUCAAAAAUGCUAUUAACACAUUAUUUUCAAAAAAAGAGAAGUAAACUUUAAGAAGUCAGGCCGGAGAUAACAGUGUUUUUAAUAUUAACGUUUUAGAAAACAUAAGUUUUUUUUUUAAAGACGGGGUUUCACCAUGUUGGUCAGGCUGGUUUUGAACUUCUGACCUCAGGUGAUCCACCUGCCUUGGCCUCCAAGGUGUUUGGAUUACAGGCGUGAGCCACCACGCCUGGCCCAUAAGUAUUUUUUUAAAUUUUGAAUGGCUUGCUGACUGAGUAAUGUAGAUAAGAAAACUUUUAAUAUUAUGAAUAGUAUGAACCCAGAACUCAGGAAUAAAUUUUAUUUUAAUGUUCAAAAUAAAAUAAUAAUUUAAAAGACAGACUCUUGAUAGGUAUGGUGGCUCAUGCCUGUAAUCUCAGCACUUCGGGAGGCUGAGACGAGCAGAUCACCUGAGGUUGGGAGUUCAAGACCAGUCUGACUAACAUGGAGAAAGCUUUACUCUACUAAAAAUACAGACUUAGCUGGUUGUGGUGGUGCACGCCUGAAAUCCUAGCUGCUUGGUAGACCAAGGCAGAAGAAUCACUGGAACUUAAGAGGUGGAGGUUGCAGUGAGCUGAGAGCACCAUGGCACUCCACCCUGGGCAACAAAAGUGAAACUAUGUUUCAUAUAUAUAUAUAUAUAUAUAUAGAGAGAGAGAGAGAGAGAGAGAGAGAGAAUGAAAUGAAAUUAAUCUAACUACCAUUAUAGCUCACACCUGGCUGUUGAGAAUAAACAUGGGAGGCUGGAUGCGGUGGCUCAAACUUAUAUUCCCAAGCAUUUUGGGAGGCAGAGGAGGGUGGAUCAUGAGAACAGGAGUUCAAGGCCAGCCUGGCCAAGAUGAUGAAAUUUCUUUUCUACUAAAAUUACAAAAAUUAGCCAGGCAUGGUGGCAGGCACUUGUAAUCCCAGUUAUGUGGGAAGUUGAGGCAGGAAAAUCACUUGAACCUGGGAAGCGGAGGUUGCAAUGAGCCCAGAUCACACCACUGCUCUCCAGGCUGGGUGACAGAGAGUCCUUCUUGAAUAUAAAAAAAAAAAGAAGAAACUUGGGUUACAAAUCACUGAUGUGGUCACUUUUUUUUUUUUUCAGGCUGAGUGUUUAUUAUUAUGAUGUAACAGAAUUACCAAAAAUUAACAAGUUUUCUGUUUACUUGCUGUGUGCCUGGUGCACCUAUGGCAUCAUUAUCUGCCUAAUGUUAUUCCCAUCCAAUAGUACCAAAUAUUAAAUGCCUUUAAUAAAGAGAUUCUUUAAACAGG